rnacentral:lncRNA from 1 species
GGAGAUAAUCAAUCUUCAUAAGUUGGGUUUCAAAUUUGAAAUACAUUUGUAAUGAAUUGAAACAAGAUACAAUGCCAAACUAGAAUCAAAUUCAUAGAUUUAAACCAUCUGAUGACUCAACGCUAUUUAUUACAAUUACAGCCACUUUACACUAAUAAUCAAACCCAGUUCAUGUUCUUCCCUUCCAUUUCCCAUGAUUUAUUAAAGGUAUUUACCUCUUUAAUGUGAAUCCUCCCUAAAAGCAGGAAACAAACAUAGUAACUCUUACUGUUACGCAAAUAAAUAGCAACUGAAUCAAUGAAAUAUUUUCUUUAUCCUCAUUCAAUUAUAUUUUCAAAUAUAUGAUGUUAACAAAGACAUGGAAUCAAAUCACAUGAAACUGCUUGCAUGUUAUAAGGUCCAAUUUAAUCCAUAACCAUGGUCUAAUCAAGUUUACAAGCAUUUCACUCACCGCUGAAACUAAAUAAUAGCUAAUGGAUCAAAAUAGUAACAGCAAAUGAAUUAAGAAAUAACCACGAUUUCAUUUUAAAGCAGAUCUGGUAUAGAAUUCAGAUUGAGACACAUACCUAAAUCACAGGAGCUAAUUUAAAGAGCAAAUUGCCAAAUAAAGGCCAAACUUGAAGGUUGGAGCUCAGCUACUAAGUUGAUAGCAGAAAAACUUCAAUCACAGAUGAAAUCCAAGUUGAAGAACCCAGAAAAUGAUAGAGGAAAUCAUUUGGAAUUGACUAAAACAGUUGCAGCUCUCCCUAAUUGUUUUUGAGUAUAAAAUUGCUUAAACCUUUAUUGUUUUUUGGUGUUUUUCUUGUCAAUUUUUGAAGCUGAAAUUUUAGAUCUAAGAUCUGAAUUUGAAAGCUGUUUUUGAAUUAUUUUUUAGAGGCUGCUUUGUGACAAAUGCCUGAACGAAGAGAGAGUGAGUGUCAGUGCAGGUGCGUGAAGGGGAGAGUCUUUAUGCGGGAGUCUGUCCAUCAGAGAAUGAGAGUGUGUACUGUUUUAUAACAAACUCUCAGUAUAUUUUUCUGUUUUUCUUUUUUCUUUUUAGUCCUUCCUAUUACUGAACAGUCUAUAAUAAAAUCACCUUUACUCUUACUUCUAGCAUAUUAGUCCCUUUUUCCCUUUCCAGAAGUUUUUUUAACAGUUACACCCAAGAUUCCUUAAAUUUUUCUUUCCCUUAAACCCUCUUAGACUUUUAGUAAUUACAAACAAUAGUAACAAACGAACUCCAACAAAUUUAAAAUCAAAACAGAGCAAAUAACAUUAAAAAAACCAAGUAAUCUAAUAAUUAAUUCUAAUUCAAACAUGCGACUAACAUGAUUCAAGAUCAAUUAGCCUACAAGUUAAUUAUCAUGCAAUUAAACUAACUAAAAAGGAAUAUCCUAAUAUGCGAACACACAAACUGUCGAGCUAAACUAACAUACAAAUGCAAAUUUGAAUCAGAGAAUAGGGGAGGAGGAUAAGAUCAGAUUUAAAAUCAACAAAAAAAAAAAGAAAAAGAGGGGAAGGCAUACCUACUGAGUUUCAACAGAUUGAGAAAAAUGAUUCCAGCAAGCCGGAAAAGCAGAAAAGGUCAAUUGGAGAGCACCUAACCGGUCAACGACCGGUUGACGAAAAUCCGACAAUUAAAAAACGGGUUAAAUCUUACAUCAAUUGAUAGCUCUUGUCAAGAGCUAUCCAUUGAUGUAAAUUUCAACCGUAAUCAUGGCCGAUUUGAUCGAGAAAUGAUAAAAGGAGAUUUUAUUUUAUUUUUUAGAAUUCUGAGAUCUGCAAUUCAUGGAAUGCGACAGGGAUUUUGAAAAAAUUGACGGUAGAUUAGUGAUGAGAGGAGGUUGGGGAUUAUGGGGUGAUAUUUUGGGGGUAUUUGGCGACGGGCCGCUGCCAUGGACGAUUUUCGGCGACGGCAGACGAUGGAGGGUGGUGAGA